ensembl:lncRNA
CCCAACUCUCCCGACUGCACACACACACACACACACACACACACACACACACACACACACACACACACACACACACACACACACGCUUGCAUAGAUAAACUCUGAAUAUAGUAGUGGGACUUCAGCUGUUUAUGUAACUUACUAUCUUAAGACUUUUGUGUCUACAAUAAUUAGUUUCCUUGGAACCAGAUCCCUACCUGUUAUUAAUUCUCCACUGUACCCAUGGUUCAGAAAAUUACAGUCAGCCUGCCAGGGGCACGUCACUCAGAGAGCUUUUAGAAACAUGAGAGGCAUCCAUACAUUUAGAGCACGGGCCUGUUAUCAGAAAAAAGUACAAGCCGGAGUUGAAUGGUGUUCAGUUUCACCUUCCUUCCUGUUGCUCUAUGACGUAGUUUGAAACAGAAACCACAAGUGAGUCAGUCUCGGGUUGAGGUUAGGAUUUCCAAAAUCAGAGUUCACACACAUGUAGCUCUUGAUCAUAUAUGUUCAUAUGUUAACAGUCUUUUUCUUCCCCUUCUUUAUUUCUGCGGGAGUCAGGUGGCAGGAGCUCUGUGGAGGUAUUUCAUCUCCAAAGGCAUUGAGUAUCUGGACACUGUGUUUUUCAUCCUGAGGAAAAAAUUUAACCAGGUCACCUUCCUGCACGUCUACCAUCAUUGCUCCAUGUUCACGCUCUGGUGGAUUGGCAUCAAGUGGGUGGCAGGAGGACAGUGUGAGUAGCUUACAACACAGCAGACAUCAGCUAUAUGAUAUAUAUAUAUGAAUUUAUCAGCAUUGCUGUUGAUAAAGCCUUCACCGGCUCUGUAGUUUUGUGGUUUAUACUGGGUGAGGGCUGGGAAGAGACACAAAUGCCUUGAUGGAUGCUUCAGGAAGCUAAACCAAACAUGUGGAGCUACUUGUCUAUAAACCUUUUAUUCACUACUGGUUAAUGUAUUCAUUAUUGUUGUUUGUUGAGCUUAUUUUUUUUUUUUUUUUUUUUUUUUUUAAAUAAUAUGCAUCUGCAUAUUAACAGCCAUGCUAGCAACUCUGUAAAGGUAUACCACAGGCAGAGGAGCACUUUGAGCUAAGUGCUAAUGCCAACAAGGCAACAUGUUGAGAGUAAUAGCAUUUAAUCGUUGAAGUUUACUAUUGGGUACAAUGUUUAUCAUGUUCACAGUAUGUAUUUAGCAUGAUAACACGCUAUCACUUGCUAAUUAGUAAACACAGGUGCAGCUAUAUGUAUAUUUGCAAGUAGAUGAUUGUGACUGAGAGUAAACUGAGUCUGAACACUGAUGAGGAAGCUAGAUGACAAAUUUCACUGAAACCCACAAGCAUAGUAUCGUCAUAUGUAGCUUGGAUAGUUUAAUCUGGAUUCAUGGGCCCCUGGACCUACACUUGUUUGUAUCUCCCACCCCCCUCAACUAUUGUCUUUUUAUUGGAUACAGACAGCAGGAGUUCAGAGCAACUCAGUUUAAGAUUUUUUUUUUUUUAACUAUAGUAAGCAGAACAAAAUUAAAAACGUAUUGUUUCUUCUACUGCAGCAUUCUUUGGUGCACAUAUGAAUGCGAUGAUCCAUGUCCUGAUGUACCUGUAUUACGGUCUUGCCUCCUGUGGACCUAAGAUCCAAAAGUACCUGUGGUGGAAGAAGUAUCUGACAAUUAUCCAGAUGGUAGGUUGAUUUCCAGGGUGGCUGAUUUUGAAAUUAAAUAUACUGAUUGUAGGGAUCAUUUGACUGAAAAUCAUUCUUCUUGCUAUGAAAGAACGGUGAAAACACAAUAUGGUGCAAAAGCAUAACUCUUAUUCUCUCUUUGGGGCUCAGAUUCAGUUCCAUGUCACCAUCGGUCACACGGCCUUGUCUCUCUAUCUCUAAAGACAGAGCACAUAUCUGAACCACUGGAACACAG